UUCUAAGGGCGGUGAAGUCAGACCGGAAGGACUGGUGGAGCGCUUAGAAGUGAGAAUGCCGGUAUGAGUAGCGAAAGAAGGGUGAGAAUCCCUUCCACCGAAUAUCUAAGGUUUCCUGAGGAAGGCUCGUCCGCUCAGGGUUAGUCGGGACCUAAGCCGAGGCCGAUAGGCGUAGGCGAUGGACAACAGGUAGAGAUUCCUGUACCAGUGCUAAUUGUUUAACCGAUGGGGUGACACAGAAGGAUAGGGAAUCGCACGAAUGGAAAUGUGCGUCCAAGCAGUGAGUGUGAGAAGUAGGCAAAUCCGCUUCUCGCGAAGCAUGAGCUGUGAUGGGGAAGGAAAUUAAGUACGGAAGUUCCUGAUUUCACGCUGUCAAGAAAAGCCUCUAGGA
rnacentral:rRNA from 1 species